rnacentral:rRNA from 1 species
UAGGGAAUCUUCGGCAAUGGGGGCAACCCUGACCGAGCAACGCCGCGUGAGUGAAGAAGGUUUUCGGAUCGUAAAGCUCUGUUGUAAGCGAAGAACGUGUGUGAGAGUGGAAAGUUCACACGGUGCCGGUAACUUACCAGAAAGGGACGGCUAACUACGUGCCAGCAGCCGCGGUAAUACGUAGGUCCCGAGCGUUGUCCGGAUUUAUUGGGCGUAAAGCGAGCGCAGGCGGUUUAAUAAGUCUGAAGUUAAAGGCAGUGGCUUAACCAUUGUUCGCUUUGGAAACUGUUAAACUUGAGUGCAGAAGGGGAGAGUGGAAUUCCAUGUGUAGCGGUGAAAUGCGUAGAUAUAUGGAGGAACACCGGUGGCGAAAGCGGCACUCUGGUCUGUAACUGACGCUGAGGCUCGAUAGCGUGGGGAGCAAACAGG